UACAGAGGGGGCAAGCGUUGUUCGGAAUUACUGGGCGUAAAGGGCGCGUAGGCGGCCUUCUAAGUCGAACGUGAAAUCCCCGGGCUCAACCCGGGAACUGCGUCCGAUACUGGGAGGCUUGAAUCCGGGAGAGGGAUGUGGAAUUCCAGGUGUAGCGGUGAAAUGCGUAGAUAUCUGGAGGAACACCGGUGGCGAAGGCGGCAUCCUGGACAGAAACUGACGCUGAGGCGCGAAAGCUAGGGGAGCAAACAGG
rnacentral:rRNA from 1 species